GAUGAACGCUAGCGGUGCGCCUAACACAUGCAAGUCGAGCGAUCGAACUGGACCGAUCACCCUUCGGGGUGAGAGGACCAGUGACGGAGCGGCGGACUGGUGAGUAACGCGUAGCCAACCUACCCCCUUGACGGAGAUAACUACCUGAAAGGGUAGCUAAUACCCGAUAUUGCUCGAGAUCGAAAGAUCUUGAGCCAAAGGCGGUCUUGCCGUCGCAAGAGGAGGGGGCUGCGUCCUAUUAGCUUGUUGGUGGGGUAAUGGCCCACCAAGGCGAUGAUGGGUAGCCGGUCUGAGAGGAUGGCCAGCCACAUUGGGACUGAGAUACGGCCCAGACUUCUACGGGAGGCAGCAGUGGGGAAUCUUUCGCAAUGGGCGAAAGCCUGACGGAGCGACACCGCGUGGGGGAUGAAGGCUUUCGGGUUGUAAACCUCUUUUCUGGGGGAAGAAUAAGGGCGGGAGGAAAUGCCCGUCCGAUGACGGUACCCCAGGAAUAAGCAUCGGCUAACUUCGUGCCAGCAGCCGCGGUAAGACGAAGGAUGCAAGCGUUAUCCGGAAUUACUGGGCGUAAAGGGCGCCUAGGCGGCUGAGUAAGUCACCCGUGAAAGCCCUCAGCUCAACUGAGGAAUGUCGAGUGAAACUGCUCAGCUUGGGUGCAGGAGAGGAGGGUGGAACUCACAGAGUAGCGGUGGAAUGCGUAGAUACUGUGAGGUACCCCGAUGGCGAAGGCAACCCUCUGGCCUGCUACCGACGCUGAAGCGCGAAAGCGUGGGGAGCAAAGGGGAUUAGAUACCCCGUAGUCCACGCCGCAAACGAUGUUCACUGGGUGUCGGUCGCUAAUACAGAUCGGUGCCGGAGCUAACGCGUUAAGUGAACCGCCUGGGGAGUACGGCCGCAAGGCUAAAACUCAAGAGAAUUGACGGGGCCCCGCACAAGCGGUGGAGCACGUGGUUUAAUUCGAUGAUAAGCGAAGAACCUCACCUGGGUUUGACAUGCUAGUGGUAGGAACCGGAAACGGGGACGACCCUUGCCUUCGGGUAAGGGAGCUAGUACAGGUGAUGCAUGGCUGUCGUCAGUUCGUGUCGUGGGACGUUGGGUUAAGUCCCGAAACGAGCGCAACCCCUGUCGUCAGUUGCCAGCGGGUAAAGCCGGGGACUCUGACGAGACUGCCGGUGAAUAGCCGGAGGAAGGAGGGGAUGACGUCAAGUCAUCAUGUCCCUUAUGCCCAGGGCGUCACACAUGCUACAAUGGGGGGUACAAAGGGCUGCAAUGCCGUAAGGCUGAGCCAAUCCCAAAAAACCUUCCUCAGUUCGGAUUGAGGUCUGUAACUCGACCUCAUGAAGCCGGAAUCGCUAGUAAUCGCAGGUCAGCCACACUGCGGUGAAUAUGUACUCGGGGCUUGUACACACCGCCCGUCACACCAACCGAGUGGGGGGUACUUGAAGUCGCUCUUUAUAGAGCGCCGAGGGUA
rnacentral:rRNA from 1 species